rnacentral:rRNA from 1 species
UACGUAGGGUGCAAGCGUUGUCCGGAAUUAUUGGGCGUAAAGGGCUCGUAGGCGGUCCAUCGCGUCGGGAGUGAAAAGCUGGGGCUUAACCCCAGUCCUGCUUCCGAUACGGGUGGACUAGAGGUAGGUAGGGGAGAACGGAAUUCCUGGUGUAGCGGUGAAAUGCGUAGAUAUCUGGAGGAACACCGGUGGCGAAGGCGGCAUCCUGGACCAACACUGACACUGAGGAGCGAAAGCCAGGGGAGCAAACGGG